GUGAGGAAUAUUGGACAAUGGGCGCAAGCCUGAUCCAGCCAUGCCGCGUGCAGGAAGACGCAUCUAUGGUGUGUAAACUGCUUUUGUACGGGAAGAAACACUCCAUCGUGAGGGAGCUUGACGGUACCGUAAGAAUAAGGAUCGGCUAACUCCGUGCCAGCAGCCGCGGUAAUACGGAGGAUCCAAGCGUUAUCCGGAAUCAUUGGGUUUAAAGGGUCCGUAGGCGGUUUAAUAAGUCAGUGGUGAAAGCCCAUCGCUCAACGAUGGAACGGCCAUUGAUACUGUUAGACUUGAAUUACAAGGAAGUAACUAGAAUAUGUAGUGUAGCGGUGAAAUGCUUAGAUAUUACAUGGAAUACCAAUUGCGAAGGCAGGUUACUACUUGUGGAUUGACGCUGAUGGACGAAAGCGUGGGGAGCGAACAGGAUUAGAAACCCCUGUAGUCC
rnacentral:rRNA from 1 species